rnacentral:ncRNA from 2 species
CAAGAAAUGUAGGGGAACCGGUAUGCCGGUUGAGACUUCAUCAUUAAGAUGCUGACCCUUUGAACCUGAUCUGGCUCAUACCAGCGUAGGGAACAUAUUCUUAAACAUA